rnacentral:rRNA from 1 species
UACGGAGGGUGCAAGCGUUGCUCGGAAUUAUUGGGCGUAAAGGGUAGGUAGGUGGUCUUAUUUGUCUGGGGUGAAAGCCUUGAGCUUAACUCAAGAAGUGCCCCAGAAACGGUAAGACUCGAGUCCUGGAGAGGGUUGUGGAAUUCCCGGUGUAGCGGUGAAAUGCGUAGAGAUCGGGAGGAACACCAGAGGCGAAGGCGGGUCUCUGGACAGUUCCUGACACUGAGACACGAAGGCCAGGGGAGCAAACGGG